CCGAGACGGGCGGAUCACGAGGUCAGGAGAUCGAGACCAUCCUGGCUAACACGGUGUUAGCCAGGAUGGUCUCGAUCUCCUGACCUCGUGAUCCGCCCGUCUCGG
rnacentral:pre_miRNA from 1 species